rnacentral:rRNA from 1 species
GGGUUGUGAGGUUAAGCGACUAAGCGUACACGGUGGAUGCCCUGGCAGUCAGAGGCGAUGAAGGACGUGCUAAUCUGCGAUAAGCGUCGGUAAGGUGAUAUGAACCGUUAUAACCGGCGAUUUCCGAAUGGGGAAACCCAGUGUGUUUCGACACACUAUCAUUAACUGAAUCCAUAGGUUAAUGAGGCGAACCGGGGGAACUGAAACAUCUAAGUACCCCGAGGAAAAGAAAUCAACCGAGAUUCCCCCAGUAGCGGCGAGCGAACGGGGAGCAGCCCAGAGCCUGAAUCAGUGUGUGUGUUAGUGGAAGCGUCUGGAAAGGCGUGCGAUACAGGGUGACAGCCCCGUACACAAAAAUGCACAUGCUGUGAGCUCGAUGAGUAGGGCGGGACACGUGGUAUCCUGUCUGAAUAUGGGGGGACCAUCCUCCAAGGCUAAAUACUCCUGACUGACCGAUAGUGAACCAGUACCGUGAGGGAAAGGCGAAAAGAACCCCGGCGAGGGGAGUGAAAAAGAACCUGAAACCGUGUACGUACAAGCAGUGGGAGCACGCUUAGGCGUGUGACUGCGUACCUUUUGUAUAAUGGGUCAGCGACUUAUAUUCUGUAGCAAGGUUAACCGAAUAGGGGAGCCGAAGGGAAACCGAGUCUUAACUGGGCGUUAAGUUGCAGGGUAUAGACCCGAAACCCGGUGAUCUAGCCAUGGGCAGGUUGAAGGUUGGGUAACACUAACUGGAGGACCGAACCGACUAAUGUUGAAAAAUUAGCGGAUGACUUGUGGCUGGGGGUGAAAGGCCAAUCAAACCGGGAGAUAGCUGGUUCUCCCCGAAAGCUAUUUAGGUAGCGCCUCGUGAAUUCAUCUCCGGGGGUAGAGCACUGUUUCGGCAAGGGGGUCAUCCCGACUUACCAACCCGAUGCAAACUGCGAAUACCGGAGAAUGUUAUCACGGGAGACACACGGCGGGUGCUAACGUCCGUCGUGAAGAGGGAAACAACCCAGACCGCCAGCUAAGGUCCCAAAGUCAUGGUUAAGUGGGAAACGAUGUGGGAAGGCCCAGACAGCCAGGAUGUUGGCUUAGAAGCAGCCAUCAUUUAAAGAAAGCGUAAUAGCUCACUGGUCGAGUCGGCCUGCGCGGAAGAUGUAACGGGGCUAAACCAUGCACCGAAGCUGCGGCAGCGACGCUUAUGCGUUGUUGGGUAGGGGAGCGUUCUGUAAGCCUGCGAAGGUGUGCUGUGAGGCAUGCUGGAGGUAUCAGAAGUGCGAAUGCUGACAUAAGUAACGAUAAAGCGGGUGAAAAGCCCGCUCGCCGGAAGACCAAGGGUUCCUGUCCAACGUUAAUCGGGGCAGGGUGAGUCGACCCCUAAGGCGAGGCCGAAAGGCGUAGUCGAUGGGAAACAGGUUAAUAUUCCUGUACUUGGUGUUACUGCGAAGGGGGGACGGAGAAGGCUAUGUUGGCCGGGCGACGGUUGUCCCGGUUUAAGCGUGUAGGCUGGUUUUCCAGGCAAAUCCGGAAAAUCAAGGCUGAGGCGUGAUGACGAGGCACUACGGUGCUGAAGCAACAAAUGCCCUGCUUCCAGGAAAAGCCUCUAAGCAUCAGGUAACAUCAAAUCGUACCCCAAACCGACACAGGUGGUCAGGUAGAGAAUACCAAGGCGCUUGAGAGAACUCGGGUGAAGGAACUAGGCAAAAUGGUGCCGUAACUUCGGGAGAAGGCACGCUGAUAUGUAGGUGAAGCGACUUGCUCGUGGAGCUGAAAUCAGUCGAAGAUACCAGCUGGCUGCAACUGUUUAUUAAAAACACAGCACUGUGCAAACACGAAAGUGGACGUAUACGGUGUGACGCCUGCCCGGUGCCGGAAGGUUAAUUGAUGGGGUUAGCGCAAGCGAAGCUCUUGAUCGAAGCCCCGGUAAACGGCGGCCGUAACUAUAACGGUCCUAAGGUAGCGAAAUUCCUUGUCGGGUAAGUUCCGACCUGCACGAAUGGCGUAAUGAUGGCCAGGCUGUCUCCACCCGAGACUCAGUGAAAUUGAACUCGCUGUGAAGAUGCAGUGUACCCGCGGCAAGACGGAAAGACCCCGUGAACCUUUACUAUAGCUUGACACUGAACAUUGAGCCUUGAUGUGUAGGAUAGGUGGGAGGCUUUGAAGUGUGGACGCCAGUCUGCAUGGAGCCGACCUUGAAAUACCACCCUUUAAUGUUUGAUGUUCUAACGUUGACCCGUAAUCCGGGUUGCGGACAGUGUCUGGUGGGUAGUUUGACUGGGGCGGUCUCCUCCUAAAGAGUAACGGAGGAGCACGAAGGUUGGCUAAUCCUGGUCGGACAUCAGGAGGUUAGUGCAAUGGCAUAAGCCAGCUUGACUGCGAGCGUGACGGCGCGAGCAGGUGCGAAAGCAGGUCAUAGUGAUCCGGUGGUUCUGAAUGGAAGGGCCAUCGCUCAACGGAUAAAAGGUACUCCGGGGAUAACAGGCUGAUACCGCCCAAGAGUUCAUAUCGACGGCGGUGUUUGGCACCUCGAUGUCGGCUCAUCACAUCCUGGGGCUGAAGUAGGUCCCAAGGGUAUGGCUGUUCGCCAUUUAAAGUGGUACGCGAGCUGGGUUUAGAACGUCGUGAGACAGUUCGGUCCCUAUCUGCCGUGGGCGCUGGAGAACUGAGGGGGGCUGCUCCUAGUACGAGAGGACCGGAGUGGACGCAUCACUGGUGUUCGGGUUGUCAUGCCAAUGGCACUGCCCGGUAGCUAAAUGCGGAAGAGAUAAGUGCUGAAAGCAUCUAAGCACGAAACUUGCCCCGAGAUGAGUUCUCCCUGACCCCUUGAGAGUCCUGAAGGAACGUUGAAGACGACGACGUUGAUAGGCCGGGUGUGUAAGCGCAGCGAUGCGUUGAGCUAACCGGUACUAAUGAACCGUGAGGCUUAACCUUACAACGCCGAAGCUGUU